ensembl:lncRNA
UUUAUCUUCAGUGGAAAUAUACAACUAUAGGAAGGAUUAUUCUCAGCAUUUAAUUCUCAUAAUAACAAUACUAGUAGCAGCAGUCAAUACUUCUAUAAUGCAUACCAUGUGCCAGACACUAUCCUAAGACUGUAUGUUAUAUAUGUAUGAGGUUUAUCCUCCUCAUAAACCUAUGAGAUAAGCCUUAUUAUUAUUCUCAUAUUACAAAUGAGAAAACUGAGGCACUGAGAGGUUAAGCAUAAUAACCCAAGGUCACGCAAUCAGUAAUUGUUGAUGCCACUGGCUGAGUUAAUGCUGGAACUUUAGAGUAGGCAAGUUAAAUAAUGUCUUGCAGAUUGGCCUUAAAAUGAGCAAAAUUUAAUUAAUGCCUUAUAAAGUCCCAGAAAGCAAAGGAACAUUUUGUAUUGAAUGUGAACUACUAAGGCACGUAUCCGUAACUAAGUAUGAUUGAUUCCUAUGGAAUGAAGUUAUUUCUCAUUACUCUGGUCUUUUGAAAGAGAAAUAUUGUUUUAGUGUUUCACAUUUUUUUCAUUCAUUCACAUAUUUCCUCAUUUAUUCAAUAUACAUGUCCGGAGCACCUUCCAUGUUGAAAGCCCUGGAAGAUUCAGUGAUGAACAAGAGAGCAUAGAGCCCUUGCUCUUAAACAAAUGCCCCAGAGGUGGGGGGAGGCAGAGUAACCACGUAAACAGAUUUCACAUGGUGACAGAAAUCCAACUGGACAAUGGCAUAGGGAGGCACUGAGGAGGCAGGUCUCUUUGUCCAAGAUAGUAGUGGCGACGUUUGAACUGACACUUGAGGAUCAGAGGGAAACUGGUCUAGGUAGAAGAAUCAGCAGAUGCCGAGCUGUGAGACAGCAACAAGCCAAGCUUGUCACCUCGGACGGCAAGAAAAGGGCAAAUGUGCCCAGAACUGGGUGAGGGUCGUGGGAAGGUAUAGGAAGUGGCCAGAGCACAUGGUGCCUGCAAGCCUUGCUAAGGAUUUUAUAUUUUAGUCUCUUCACAACCAAUUGCCUUUAGCGGUUAGAAGCAGGCCAAUGAUAUCUGAUUUGUCCUUUUUAAAAGAUCACCUUGACUGUUGAGUCUCUUACAAGCACAAAAGAGCUAUGCCUCUACGAAGUAUGGACAAUAAAUUUUAAAAAGCCCAACGAGCUCAUAAAUAGUUGGUUCACUAAUUAUCAUCAUUAGUCUCAACCAGACUGGAUUAAUAUAAUUAUAAUUAAUAUAAGCUUGGUGACUCUGGGGUCCUGGGACAUAUUAGAUUAGGGAAACCCAACUAUUUGCAAAUAGUGUGAUUUGAAAAAUUCUCAAACUUGUUGGGGUUCAUGAAUAUUACUUUAUUACUGGGGGCUGCAUGAGAGGGUUAGAGUAAGAAAAGAGGAUAUGAUAGUUGGAUCUUCUGCCUAUUUGCCCUGUCUGUGGGAGAAGCCAUGGGAGGGGGGUGACUACUCUACCGCUGACAAAGUGCUUAAAUUUCAGAACUAGUUCAAUCCAGUGAGUAUUUGCUGAAAAACUACUAUACGUUGGACACCUAGCUGAGACUGCGAAUACAAAGUGAACAAUUAAUCAGAGCAGCUAUUACUAAUAGGAGCCGGCACUGUGCAAAUGCUUAACAUGCACCAUCUCAUGUUCCAUUAAUCUACACAUCAACUCUAUGGGGUCAGUUCAUUUAUUAUCCCAUUUUCCAGAUGAGAAAUCUGAUGUUUUUAAGAGGCUUUGGUGAUUUCUCCAACGUUCUCUACACAGCUGGUCAGGGUGUAGGCAGUAUUUGGACUCAGAAGAUCUGAUAUCAGAGCCAACUCUCUUAACCAUUAUACUCGACUGUCUGCAAGGACCCUACUUGAGAAGUUCAAAAUUAUACAUAUAUCGGUACAAGCGACCCUAAGACUGCCUGGCACAAACUAACUGCUUGAGAGGGCCUGGGUUUAUGUAAGAGGCGCUUGGAGUGGUGAAGACUGUGAGAGUCACAAAAAUGUGUUCUCUGUACCAAAGGGCAACAGAAAUAAGAAAGAAUUAGCGUAGGGCAGUGAGGUCGGCAAACAGCAUGAUGUUGAGGACCAAGAAGCAGCAUUUCUUUUUUUUCUUAUAAUUAUUACAUUAUGUCUACUUCACAGUUAUCAGAAAGAAGUCAUAGUAUAGUAAACAGUGUAGACACACCUAUCCUUGAAUCCUGGCAGAGGCAGAGUAUAUAAUGCAAGACUGGCACCUAGGUGUAGUUAAAUAAGCUUUCAUUUUUCUUUAGCCUUCAAGCAAAACAGUUUUCUGAUAUGCAUAAUUCAGAAAAAUCGAGAAAAUAUUUAAAGCACGCUAUCUCAGAGGAAAGCAAUUUUGCAAAAGAUCUACCAGCAGAAGCAAGUCCAACCACACCAAUGGUUUAGUGAGAUUUGUACUGAUAUGGCAUCAUAUCUCAUGUUGUUUCUUUAUGCAUUUUUCUGGAAAAAGGCUCACAGAGUUCAUAAUUUGCAGAGAUAAAGACUCACACUGACGUGGCAGAAAGAGCUUUGCUCUGGAUUUAGAUCAGUUUAGGUUUUGCUAUGUACUAGAAUUAGGUAACAUUCAUAAUCUUUCUGAGCCUGUUUCCUAUCUGCAAACAGGAGUAACACUACUACAGAGGGAUUGUUUAAAUUAAAGGGCACGUACAAAUGCUAUAUAUCCUUCCAGGCUGCGAGAAAAUGCCUCGUAAAGGGUAAGUGAUCUACAUACACUCUGCUUCCUUGAAACCGAUGAAAGCUGUUCUCAUGUUCUUCACCCUAUUUCUCAGCCAAUGGUCUAAAUAUGAAGGCAAUGUUUAGUUAAAAAUUCUUUCCAUUCUUUCACUGUCCAUCUGCAUUUCCAACAUAUUCUUGACGAAUCAAGUCUCAAUAUUAGUAAUAAUUAUCACUUAAGCUAUUACUGUUCACAUGUUUAAGAUAUUUCCAUGUGAGAUAAAUCAUUAUUCAGACAGAUGGCUAAGCUGGUUUUGUCAAAGAUUUCAAUGAGAUAUAAAUACAUCUUAAUCAGAGUUAACUUUCAAAGAAGAGGAGAGCAAUGAUUCAAGAUGUGGAUAGAAAAACCUUUUGUACAAAAUGUUAUCAAAUAUAUUAAAUCCCUGGAAAAUUAUCUGUGGUGCCAUUUGGGUUUCUAGUUUAUAAAGUACAGCUUCCCUAAAACUAAACUAUUAUCAUUUCUACCCAUCUUCUGUUUUAAUACCCUCAAAACAUGGCUUUUAAUUAACAGUUAAGCUAACUGCUAUUACAUUCAUUCUUCUUUCCUCUUUCUCUGAUUAUAACAAGUAUCACUUGACUCACGAUGAAAUGGGCUUUCUGAAUAUGAGGAAGGGGUCGAGGAGGAAAAUAGGAUACGUAGGGUACAAUGGUCACACAUAGAGUUAGUGGAAGCUUUAGCAGUAACAAAACUAGUGAAAUUAGAGUUAGUUAAUUAGUAGUCAGGAAAAUUUUGUCAUGUAUUACCAUUAAUUGGCCAACUAGACUAAUUAGGCUCACAAACAAUAAAAAGCAAAGAAUGGAAAAUCUAUUGUUUUUGCCAGCUUCCUCUGCUAGUUAUCAGAGCAAUUUUCUCCUAGUUUAUGAGACAAUAACAAUCUAGUGUUCAAAUUUAAACAUUAUCACUAUAAGAUAUGGAGAUAUGUGAAACUUACUAUACUUUCUUCAUAAAUCUAGUAUUAUAGUAUCAUAAAUUCCACAGUAAAAACAACUUAGGAGAAAUGUAAAAUUUGUGCAAACUACAAUAAUUUUUUUAAACUUUGAAAAAAUUAAAAAAGAUUGCUGACUACACCUUGGCACCCUUUCCUUUGUAGACUAUGUUAGAGCCAGGCUUUCCUUGACUGAGAGCUACUGUACUACAGCGAAAGCCUCUAUUCAUAUUCAUAAUCAUCAGGCAAAUCAGGGAGCUGACUUGCUUAGAAUCAGACCUGGGAGCCAUCUGUUUGAAAUGUAAUCAAGAAAGAUAGGACCCCCGUUCUCUGUGGGAGGUAUUGAGUGAUGAUCAGUUGCAUGACUAACUAGAGACGAAGCUGCUCAAACAUUGUUUAACCCACGAGAAGUCUUUUAUAUGACACAGCAGCUCAAACAACUGUGAUUUUCCUGUUUUAAAAAUGAAGAUACAACUCACAGAGGUUAAGUAACUUGAGAUUCAAACCAGGUGGAAUUUAAAGCCCAGAUUCACUUCCUGAAAGGCAGGACUUGGACACAAGUGGUAACUAAACAGCGCC